UCAAACUUGGUCAUUUAGAGGAAGUAAAAGUCGUAACAAGGUCUCCGUAGGUGAACCUGCGGAGGGAUCAUUACCAGAGAUGGCGGGCCCCGCGCCCCCGUCCCCCACCCUUUGUUGACCGAACACCUCUUGCCUCGGGGGCAGAGCGGCCGCGCCGCCGCCCCCGGAGGACCAACCAACGCUGCCUCUGUACGUCGGAGUCGGAUUUGAAUAAACAAAAACUUUCAACAACGGAUCUCUUGGUUCUGGCAUCGAUGAAGAACGCAGC
rnacentral:misc_RNA from 1 species